AUUGUUCCUAGCCUAGAGUAAACUAAUUUUUUUUAACAUAAUUAAGUUUUCAACUGUGAAAUUACUUUGUACUUGAGUAAUUAGUUUUUUUUCCAUUAUAUUUUCAAAGUAAAAUGUACACUUUUACUCUACUACAUUUUCCCUGGACAUCUAUGUUACUCGUGCAAACUGAAAUCUUGUAAAUGAAAGGCACUUUGAUGCAUUUGGCAAAAUGAGAGCUGCUAAGUAUCUGUCAGUAGCAAUUAAGCAAGUGAAACAAGAUGGCGGUAGCGGUGCUGCCUCAGCCCCACCAGCUACAAAUGUUAAAGGAGAACCCUUGUGGUCAUAUCUAAAACAUUUUUCUUUUGUUUGAGUUAAAGAUUUAUUUUACCACAUAAUGUGUCUCUUGGAUGUGCCAAAAACACAGAUACAGUCAUUUAGAAACUCGCCAUCCAACUAAAUAAAACUACAUACUUAUGUUUCCGUUUCUCUUUUGCAGUGAAUGGUGCUGCAAGUGGUGCAGUGGUGAAUGUGGCGUUGUAAGGCCUGCCCCUCAGUUUUACCAAGUCUGUGCGAAUAGUGACGUUGAAGAGAGCAAUCUGUGUCUGAGACAUUGAACUAAAACCAUGACAUCAGCUAUUCUUAAAGUAAUCCUCGGUCCAGACAGCUGUCAGAGGGUGGUGUUUUCUGAUGGCCUGCCAUCAACUGUGACUGAACUGGAGACUGAGAUAAAGAGUCAGUGUAAAACAAUAGAGUCUUUUCGGCUGCAGUUCAUAGACCACCUUUUUGGCAAUUUAGUUUAUGAGCUUAUGAACUUAACUUCAAUGGAAGAAAUUCAAGACAAAGCUACAGUCAAGGUUAUAUACGUAUCCUGUAAACCUCUUAAUGCUGAUGCACAUAAAGGUGUGGACAGUUGCUCCUUUCCACUAAUCAGUCAUCCUGAUGACACCACGUCAUCCUCUGGUGACAGCACUGUACUGUACCUCUCACAACUACAGAGUCCACUUCUUCAUGGUCUUCGUGGCCAGAUAUAUUUCAUGUUACCCGUUUUUCAUAUGAUGCAGAAUUGAAGCUUGAGGAGGCCAACAAAGCUUUGAGAGAAAAGGGUACACUGCUGAUCCCUGAUCCAAAGCUGAGUUCUGAUAUACUAGAGGGGUUGAUUCAGGAAAUUGUUAAGCACAAAGUAUAUAUCUCAGACAGGGAGUUUGACCAAGUUGCAGAGACACUCAUUAUGAGGCAUCUAUGUUUACAAGAGAAAGGCUCAGCCAUCGGCUAUGGGGGAUAGAAGACUAGUCUUAAAUGCAAGCUGUCCAACUAACUCACACAUCUUUGGAAAGUAGGAUGUCCUGAGGUAUGUGUAAAUGCUUUGGUUCAUAAACCAGAUGGGAAAUGUUGUCCUGCCUUUGGCAUUAAGAAACCAAAGAGAGAAGUGGCUUACUGGCCCUCCUUUCCCCUUGGAAAAAGCUACCAGUCUUUGGAGAAGAUGAGGGUUGAACUCCUUUCAGAUAUCAAGAAGCAUAAUAACAGAGAGACAGUUAGGUCUAAAAUGGAAGAAACAUUUGCAUUAAGAAGACAAGAAAUAAUUUGUGAUGCUCCCAUGAUCACAGAAGUACAAGAGAGACUCCGUAAUGUAAUGGAGGCAAGUUAAAAAAUAUAUAUUUUAAGAAUUUCAUGACUUGUGCUACAGAUGGUGUAUGCAACUGUUGGAAUAAUGCUUGGCUUCAUUGGCAUGUUCAGAUUAUUCUACAGCAGAAAUCAAAUGAAAAGUAAAAAAGUACAUGCAGUGAUGUGGUUGGCAGGUGUAGUUUUGAUGAAACAAAUGUCUUGUGUUUAUGUCAGUGGGCUGUGUUAAAAAAAAUAAAAUCAUGUUGUUUCAGAUAAAAGAAUUCAAGCGUAUCACAACCAUGUCUCUACAGUCACAUCUUCUGACCAGUCUUUCACAUCUGUCUUUGGGGAUUUUUACCCACUUCUCCCUACAGAAAUCAGCCAGUUGAGAGAGGUUGGAAGGACAUCUGGCAUGUAUUGCCCGCUUCAGGUCUAUGCACAACAUUUCAAUUGGAUUGAGAUCUGAACUCUGACUAGGCCAAUCAAGAGUGUGAAACUUCUUUCUCUUAAGCCAUUUCUUGGUGGAUUUGCUUGAAUGCUUAGGGUCGUUGUCUUGUUGCUUCACCCAUUUUCGGCCCAGCUUCAGCUCUCUGACUGAUGGCAGGAGAUUCUCUUCAAGAAUUUGUUGAUAGGUCUGAGAAUUCAAGUUUCCCUGUAUAAUAUGGAGUUACCCUGGCCCAGAGGCAGAAAAGUAGCCACAGUCCUUCACAUUUCCACCACCAUGCUUCACUGUUGGGAGGAUGUUUUUUUCCUGGAAUUCAAUAUUGGCUUUUCUCCAAACAUGGCAGCUUUGAUUAUGA